rnacentral:lncRNA from 1 species
UGGGGGUGGGGCCAGGCCGCCGUCCAGGGAGGCCCAGCCGCCAGGCCAGGGACCGAGGAGGGUGGGCACGACGGGCUCCGGACCUUCCCGGGGCCCCGCGUUCGCCCAGCCUCCCGCCUCGGGGCACGGUGGACCCACUCUUCCCGCGGCCACCAACCUGACAGCCCCCGAGGGCGACUCCGCCGACAGACCACCAUGCACCGGGCCCUGCCACCAGCGCCGGCCCCGCAACCCGCCUGCGCCAUAGCCCGCCCGCGCGCGGCUUGCCUCGCGCGAUAUCCAGGUUCCAGGGCGGCCGCACUUCCCUCUCGCUCCCGGCGCGGCCUCCGCCGGGCCCCGGAACCCGGAUGACCAGCGCGGGGCCACGCUCCAGCCCGCCCCCCUCCGCCGCGGCGGCCGGCCUGCUUAUCCCGGUUCCCGGGCCCCGGAGCCCAGGCCGCCGAGUCUCCUCAGGCGAGCCUCGGAGCUCCGCCUCGCUCUUCUCUCCGCUGGCCGCCGGGUGACGCGGCCUCGCCAGCCCGGGCGCCCGGGGAGGGCGUGAUGACGUCACGACGCCGGGUGGAAGCCGCGGUCGCCAUAGCAACGGGGGAAAAAAUCGAGCGGCGGUGGGCUGCUCGGGAGGAAGCCAUUGCAGGUAUCUCUAGGUGGUUCCUGCAGAGGACGGUGACCAGACGCCUGGAGGGGAUGGGACUCCGAGGGACAGUCCUCCCAGCGCCCUGUGCAACGGCGCCCCAAGGGAUGGCGUCCCGACAGUCAUCUCUGCUGGAUGGUCCUCCCCCUGGGACUUCACCCUAAGGGACGCUUCUCUCCCGCUCUGUCAGAAGGUGAACUGGGGCUCAGCACCCUGAGGGACUUAGGGACGGUCCUCCCUGUGGACAGUCUCCGUGAGAGAUGGUCCUUCUGCAUGGACUGCACCCCGAGGGACAAUCCUUCCUGCACUUUGUGGGAAGAUGCCCGAGGGGUGGGGGUGGGGGGACAGCAUUAUGAAGGAUGGAGCCCUGACAGUCCUUCCUGCGGGACAAUUCUCCCUGCAGUACUGGCUUUUCCCAUAUGCCCUGGGGAACGUGAGUGUUUAUGAGGGAUGGUGCACCCAUCCUGUCCCCUGAGGAAGGGCCCUGACGUUCCCCUCUGCUCGACUCAUCUUCCUGAGGGAUGAUUCUCUCUGAAGGAAGGUUCCCUGACAACACUUGCUUCCUUCUACUGCCUUCCCUGAGAAAUGACACUCUGAUGGUCGACCCCUGAGGGACAACGCCCCGAGAGUCUUCUCAGGUUCUUGGGCGUUCAUUCAUUCCUCCAUCAGCUCCCCAAAACCAACAGGUCCCCUUGAUAGGGUAGCAGUGUGAGGAACAAAACCAAGUGCCCCCUUUCUUCUCUGUUUUUCCAUAGUUUUGUCCUUUUUUUGGACUCAAACUGUGGAUCCCAAGGUGGCCUUGAACUUGUGAUCCUCCUGCCUCAUCUUUACACCUGACACCUAACUUUAAAAGUUCUUUUUAUUAUCUCUCUUCCAAGCAGGGAGGAAUUGUGGUUCAGGAUAUUUUCAGAAAUUGAGAGAAAAUAAGCUUCCAAUUAAAAAUAAGAAGAUGAAGGGGGAGGAGCCUUGGCACGGGCAUGUUAACCCCGAGGUCCCAGUGUGGUACUGGAAUUUCCACCUGGUGCCCUAGUAUAUACCCAGUUAGAGCCAGCUCUGCCAUCCUAGCACGACACACAUGGGAUCUUUCCAGGGUUUUAUAGCACGGAUUAUUGGUUAGAAAUACAGCAAGAAAGCCAGACACGGUGGUGUACAACUGUAAUCCCCUGCACUGGGGAGGUGAAACCAGGAGGGUCAAGAGUUCACCAUCAGGGCUGGCAAGAGUUUGAUCCUUGGAACCCAUAUGGUGGGAAAAGAGAACCUGUUUCCCCCAGUUGUCCUCUGAACUCCAAAGACACAUGGUAGCAUGCUUACACACACACACACACAGACAGUGCUUGCUUAUAUACACUCACAAAUGCACACACAUACUCAAUGAAAAAGUUCAGGAUCACUUUUAGUUUUCUGGUGAGUUGAAAAUACUAGAAUUCCGAGUGACCUGGAUGUCUGCUCAGCGCCACCACCCUUUACCAUAUGGGCAGAUAGCUCUUCCUUGCAGAUGGUAUUCGGUUCGUUUCCUCUCCAUUACACAGAAACCAUUUGUCUGAAGGAAGAGAUAAAAGUUGUCAUCCCACCACGUGGCCUUGGCUGGCCUGCAUCUUAGUCUAGGUAGACCAGGCUGGCCUCAAACUCACACAUCUGCCUGCCUCUCCCUCCCCAAGUGCUAGGAUCAAAGGCGUGAGUCACUAUACCCAGCCAAAGCAACGGUUCUAAAACAUUCCAGGUCCGAAAGAUUGGUGAGGAAGCUGUUGUGGAGUAGAAUUUUAUUCUCUUGGUACCAGGAAUGAGAUGCAAGGGCCCGGGCAUGCUAGGCAUGGCGCUCUGCUGCUGAGCUACGAGUAAAGAUCAGAGGGGGGGAUGUCGGAUGACAGCUCUCCAUUGCUGGGGUGCGGUGACCUUGGUGCUGGUUCUGCCUCCCUCGCAGGUCUGGAAACUCCUGCUUCUGCUUCUUUAAUACUGGGAUUAAAGACCUAAGCUGUCAUGCUCAGCGAGGGGAAGUCUCCAACGUUGCUUUUAAACGUAGACAGAGACAUGAAUUUCCAGAUAUUAAAAUCAUUAGGAAUAAGCUGAGCUGUGGGAGGGGGGAGCCAGGCCUGUCCGGCAGUGAGAAGAAGAGACCUUUGAGUGUUUAAGAUCCCCCCCCCGGGCCCCCAGCUAUAGGACAAGCCUUUGAGGUAGAGGAAAGGAUGCUUGCUAGACCUCGGAGUUUCAUUUAGUAUUUUAAUAAUAUAAAAAAGACAAUACAAAAUCCAAACAUUCCUUUUUACAAGUUUUCAGAUACAUAUUUUUCCCCAAGUGCAAAAUACUCUGUGUACCACAUUGCUGCUGCCUAUUGUCAACUGAGAUGCUUGCUGUAUGAGAGGCAGUGGAAGGCAGAUAUAAAUAUAGUAUUUUAAGA